UACGGGAGUGGCAAGCGUUAUCCGGAAUUAUUGGGCGUAAAGCGUCCGCAGGCGGCUUUUCAAGUCUGCUGUUAAAGCGUGGAGCUUAACUCCAUCAUGGCAGUGGAGACUGAGAGGCUUGAGUAUGGUAGGGGCAGAGGGAAUUCCCGGUGUAGCGGUGAAAUGCGUAGAUAUCGGGAAGAACACCAGUGGCGAAGGCGCUCUGCUGGGCCAUUACUGACGCUCAUGGACGAAAGCCAGGGGAGCGAAAGGGAUUAGAUACCCCUGUAGUCCUGGCCGUAAACGAUGAACACUAGGUGUCGGGGGAAUCGACCCCUUCGGUGUCGUAGCUAACGCGUUAAGUGUUCCGCCUGGGGAGUACGCACGCAAGUGUGAAACUCAAAGGAAUUGACGGGGGCCCGCACAAGCGGUGGAGUAUGUGGUUUAAUUCGAUGCAACGCGAAGAACCUUACCAGGGUUUGACAUCCUGCGAACCUCUUAGAAAUUUGAGGGUGCCUUCGGGAAUGCAGUGACAGGUGGUGCAUGGCUGUCGUCAGCUCGUGUCGUGAGAUGUUGGGUUAAGUCCCGCAACGAGCGCAACCCACGUUUUUAGUUGCCAGCAUUUAGUUGGGCACUCUAGAAAGACCGCCGGUGAUAAACCGGAGGAAGGUGUGGAUGACGUCAAGUCAUCAUGCCCCUUACACCCUGGGCUACACACGUACUACAAUGCUACGGACAAAGGGCAGCAAACUCGCGAGAGCUAGCAAAUCCCAUAAACCGUGGCUCAGUUCAGAUCGUAGGCUGCAACUCGCCUACGUGAAGUAGGAAUCGCUAGUAAUCGCAGGUCAGCAUACUGCGGUGAAUACGUUCCCGGGCC
rnacentral:rRNA from 1 species